GCCUGGCUAGCUCAGUCAGUAGAGCAUUCAGCUCUUAAUCUUAGGGUCAUGAGUUCAAGCCCCAUGUUGGGCA
rnacentral:tRNA from 1 species